rnacentral:RNase_P_RNA from 1 species
UCAGGUGAACGGACGGCCGCUAAAUUUGAUUUAGAGGAAAGUCCGAGCUCCACUCGGAAUGAUGCCCGUUAACGACGGGGCGGGGUGACCCGACGGAAAGUGCCACAGAAAAUAACCGCCGUUUUACGGUAAGGGUGAAAAGGUGAGGUAAGAGCUCACCGCGCAAAUGGUAACAUUUUGCGGCUAGGCAAACCCCAUCUGGAGCAAGGCCUAAUAGGGGUUAUAGGACCGAGACUGACCCGGGUUGGCUGCAUGACUGUUACGGCAACGUAAUAGCUAGAUAGAUGGUCGUCACUUUGUAAAAAGUACAGAACUCGGCUUACAGUUCACCUGAAUAU